GGUCCAAUAGUGUAGAGGUUAACAUGCACAAUGGCUUGAUGAUAGAAAACAUACGUCCCUCCGUGAGAUCCAGGUCCGAGUCCUGGUUGGACCG